rnacentral:rRNA from 1 species
GACGAACGCUGGCGGCGUGCCUAAUACAUGCAAGUCGAACGCUUCUUUCCUCCCGAGUGCUUGCACUCAAUUGGAAAGAGGAGUGGCGGACGGGUGAGUAACACGUGGGUAACCUACCCAUCAGAGGGGGAUGACACUUGGAAACAGGUGCUAAUACCGCAUAACAGUUUAUGCCGCAUGGCAUAAGAGUGAAAGGCGCUUUCGGGUGUCGCUGAUGGAUGGACCCGCGGUGCAUUAGCUAGUUGGUGAGGUAACGGCUCACCAAGGCCACGAUGCAUAGCCGACCUGAGAGGGUGAUCGGCCACACUGGGACUGAGACACGGCCCAGACUCCUACGGGAGGCAGCAGUAGGGAAUCUUCGGCAAUGGACGAAAGUCUGACCGAGCAACGCCGCGUGAGUGAAGAAGGUUUUCGGAUCGUAAAACUCUGUUGUUAGAGAAGAACGAGGACGUUAGUAACUGAACGUCCCCUGACGGUAUCUAACCAGAAAGCCACGGCUAACUACGUG